rnacentral:misc_RNA from 1 species
CACUACCUCUCUAUCCGUGUCUCUCUCUCUCUCUCGGAUUUGUAUAGCUAUCUACUACACUCUCUCUGUUCAUGUCUUCUCCCUCCUCGCCUCUCUCCUCUCUUUCCUUUGCUCUAGCAUCACUAUGGUUCAUUACAGUUAAAGACCGAAGGCACUAAGAAGAUUGUCCAUCCAGUAUUUUUGCUGAAGAUAUUUCUUCCUCAGGCAUCAUGGUUUUAGCUUCUGCUUCGAGCCAAAGUCACAUGGGGGGCUGGCAGAUGAUGGAAGAUGGUGAACACAACUAUUCCAUAGUCUUCAAUUUCGAGAAGCUCUUUGAUGAACCCUCUUUCAUGGAGUACAUGCUCAAGAAUUGGACCAAUUGCUUUAUUUAUUCAGUCAUCUACAUAGUUCUCAUCUUUGGUGGACAGUGUUGGAUGAAAGCCAGAAACAGAUUCGACCUCCGGCCUGCUUUGGCUGUGUGGAGUGGAACAUUGGCUCUGUUCAGCAUUGCAGGUGCCAUUCGUACAUUGCCGGAGCUGAUUUCAACGAUCCGAAACCGUAGCCUACAAUAUUCCAUCUGUGUACCAACAUACUUCCGUGGUGUAACUAGCUUCUGGGCAUAUAUGUUCACUGUAUCGAAGGUGUUUGAGCUGGGUGAUACACUGUUCAUAGUCCUCCGGAAACAGCAGUUGAUAUUCCUGCACUGGUACCAUCACAUUGCCACAUUGAUCUACGUCUGGUAUAGCUACACUGACCAUACAGCCCCUGGACGAUGGUUCAUGGUUAUGAACUAUAUUGUACAUUCUAUCAUGUAUACAUAUUAUGCUUUGCGAGCAAUGCGCAUCUAUCUUCCAGUGGUGGUUAACAUGACUGUCACAUCCCUGCAGAUUUUACAAAUGGUCGUUGGGUGCCUCAUAAACUACUGGUCAUUCCAAAUCAAAACACGAGGGGAGUACUGCAACCAGAGUUACGAUAAUAUAAAAUACUCAACUCUUAUGUAUUGUAGUUAUUUCUUCCUCUUUGCUCAUUUUUUCUACAAUGCAUAUAUUAGGAAACAGAAGCUUAUGAAAAAGGUUUCUUGAAAAAAAUGAACGUCAGCUCCAUCUGACAGGGUUGGAGUCAACACAUUUUUCUGAGCAUCUUUAAAAAAAAAAUUAAUUAGAAUAAUAAACUCAGAAAGAACACUCCUCACCAGUGUGUGUGUGUAUGUGUGUGUGUAUGCAGGUGGGGGUUGUGUGGUUGAGGUGGGGAGUGAAAAGGAUAAGUUAAAAGAAAAAAGAAGGGAAACUGUAACAAGAAGAAAAAAUCCAGAACAAAUUGAAUUCAUGAUUUACUCAGCCAAGAAGCAAACAAGCAAAAUAAUAGACAUGCAAGAAAACUUUGCUAAAAUUGACGAAGAUGGAAAUAAUAAUUUUGACAUUACUUCAUCAGCUCUUACAAUGAAAUCCAUUUUUGUUUCUGCCUCUCUCUUUUUUGUUUCGUUUCUGCCCCCUCAUAUUAUUUAAAAUUAUUUUAAUCGUCUGAAGAAUUAAAUUUUCUGCUACCUUUAAAUAUAUAAAAACAAAGAAAACAA